rnacentral:lncRNA from 1 species
GAAACAAUACAUGAAGGAACCAUGGUCAAUCUCAUAAACUUGAACAAUUUUAAAAGGAAAAUUCUGAAUAAUCUAAGCAUGUGACAACCAUCUAAGAAACCUCUAACAUUACAUUAGCCAUCAUCUGAGACAAAUUUGGGACAAGGCCCCCAGUAGACCAAAAAAAAGAAAAAGAAACAAUGAUAUCUGAAAAUCUGGCCUUCUGAAAGAGAGAAGGCUCACCAACUGCAACUUCUGACACACACGGAUCUACUGCUUGGGACCGUGGAACUAUGCCUCGGGUCCUGAAAUAUAGGGAGUCAAUACAGAUGUACUGGUAUGCAGAGUAAUCCAAUAACAAAAUACAACUUAUACAACAUAGGUGAGAGCUAUUAUAAAACACGUUAACGCAAAGUCAUUUGAAAACACAUGGGCAUAGUAUGAUGAUUUUCAACAAUAAUGUAGCACUAUGGAGCUAGAUGGUACACCCUACAAUUUUACAUUUCACCGACUGCCAAAUCUCUAUUGCUGCCAAGGUUAGAGUACUAGUGAGGGAACGACACAUAAGAUCACACAGCAGCUGCACAACCCCAAUCAAGUCAAUAUGUCGUGGUUGGGCUCAAGAUCAUAAAGCAGGGCUCCUAACCAUAGAUCCCGAGUUGGGAUGACAUAGUACUAGGUACGCAAGAUCACAUAGCAGGGUUCCAAUUUCCCGUGUCGGUAAAUAACGAUUUCCAGCAUAGAGUCAUCUGACUCGUGCUUUCUUUGGGUAACCUGCAUCUAACUCACAUCAAUCAAGCUUUAAGUUUGAUAUAAGGAAAACAUGCAUCAUGCUCACAACAUUCUUUUCCUCUUUUCAUUCGAGGCAAUUCCUCCACGUGGUAUCAUCAUACCCUAACUUGCAAGUCAUCAGUACCACAUCAAUUCUCAAAACUUCUUAUACAAAUCAUAGUAUGAACACCAACAAGAUUCCCAUACACCAACAUAUGCAUAGUGAUUCCCAACACGUAAUAGUUAAGAAACUUCAUCAUUUAUAAAGAAGUACAAUAGUGGAUAUAAAAAUCAUGCUCUCGGUAGUUUAACAAUAGUAUCAUGUGGAGUACAUAAAACAUCAUCAUGGGGGUUAAAAGAUUUACAACUCAUGUUCAUAACAUCUUUCAAAAUUCAAAUCACAUGUCCACCAUUUCAACAAUUUAGAUAUAUAAGCAAACAGCCCUAUGAUCUUUCAAUAUUCUUCUUAAAAUCAUAUUACAAUGCAUGCUUUUUGUGUUAAAAACAAAACCCUACUUAUAAUUGCAUACAUACUUAAGUAAUUAUUAAAAUCUUGUUUAAAUUCGUAUCAAAAUCAUGCCCAUGAGAUUAGGACAAUCCCACGUACCUUAGAUUACGAGGUUUGAAAGAAAGAACCUAGAUCUUGAUCCUUCUCUUGAUAUUCUUGAUCUUAGGGUUGAGUUCUUGAUCUUUGGGGGAAGGAGUUAGGGUUUUUAUUUGAGAGGAAAAUUGAAUUAUAGAGUGUAUUGUGGUUUUUGGGGCGCAAAUCUUAUGUUUUGGAUGGAUUUUGGGUGAGGGAAAGUGACCAAAAUGCCCCUACACCCAUUAGAAACUUAUUUAACGAGUGAAACAGUUCCGUAAUAUGCUGGUCGACGCAUUGCGUAGGCUUACUGCCUUCCCUUGGUGGAUAAGUCUGACAAAAAAUGCCAUAACUUUUCGCUCGGUUAUCGAAUUUUGGCGAAAUUGGUAUCGUUGGAAAGCUAAUUCAAUUAUAUACAAUUUGAUGGAUCUUGAGCUUAAAAAUUCUAUGUGUAUCGAAAGUUAUACACGUUCAAAAUAGUCUUUUGUCGAAUCGAAUAUCAAACUUUGAAUGAAUGAAAUGAUUCUUUCCUAAACUUUGCUCUAAGCCAUUUCUAUGAGCAUUUUUCACCUCAUAAUCACUUCAUAUACUAGGCGAAAGAUCAUGAAAUAUGAAUUUAAACAUAUACCAUGGAAUUUGAGCUUAUACACGUAGGAACGACGGUUUGAUUUCUAGCUUGAAAAUGCGGGGUGUUACUAUAGAAGGAAGGGGCAAUAUAGAUUCUGUGCUGAUUAACUUGGCUAUUCUGUUCAUCUAAUUUUGAGCUAUACUUGCAAGAAUGACGUACAAGGCAAUUUUGGAGGCCCUUGUGUGUAUAUAUAUGUUUGUGUGCACGUGCCUCUUUAGUAUACUUGCUAAAACAGGCAUCUAACGCUUACAGUUGAUUAUAGGAACAGGCUGCAGGUAGUGCUGAUGGUAGACCACCUCCAGCACUAAGCAGCAGUGCAGACUUACAGCCACUGAAUAUGGACGACUUCAGAUAUUCUCAUCAGCAGGUGAGUUCAAAAAAUCUGGCGGCAUCUUUAAACUGUCUAAAUUUAACUGCAUAAGGGUGUUGACGAUUGGAGAACUGUGCUCAUCUAUUCUUGUAGAUUCGCGCAAGUGUUUCAUCUGAAUCCACAAAUAUGACCGAACUUCUUCAGUGGAAUGAUCUGUAUGGAGAAGGGGGCUCUAGAAAGAAACAGUCCUUCAGUUACAUCAUGUAAAGGCUAUCUCAAUUUUUGUACAAUGAGUUUAUAGGUCUCUUAGAAAAUGAGUUUUGACAUGGUACAACAGUUACUUUAUAUGCUUUGACCUUUUGUUGGGAUUAAGUAAUGUCAAGAUUAUUUUUUCAUCCAUCAUUUGGUUUAGUUUGGUGUAUUAAGGAUAGUUCUAAUUUGAGAAAUGGUUAUUCUCAUCAGUUAUACACCUUGUGUAUUAUCUGAUGACAAAUUUUGGGAAAUUACUGGAGCGCUAUUAUGCCACUAAGACGAUUCACCGUAAAUGUUUAUUGUUACUAGAAGCGUAAGCAAUUUUUUCUUGAGGAAAUAUCACACUUCAUCUAAUUGAUGUUCAUAAAGACUUUGAAACAUUUCUUUCAAACCAUGACUCACUCUUUGUCUUAUUUCUGAGCUAGAUGGUACACCCUACAAUCUGUAAUUCCAUGGGCCAUAUAGAAUCUAUCUUUAACUCGGCGGCCAAGCUCACAAUCUAAGUUUGUCGCAAGGAUUGGAGUUUCUAUAAGGAGGGCACGCAAGAUCACACAGCAGGGUGACAAAAUCCUCAAUCAAAUCAACAUGUCAUGGUAGUGCACAAGAUCAUAAAGCAGGGCUCCGAACCAUAGGACCAAUUUGGAACCACAUGAAUCAAGGUACACAAGAUCAGAAAGAAUGGUACCAUAAUCCCGUGUCGGCAAAUCACGGUUUCUAGCAUAGAUUCCUUCAAUUCGUACCUUCUUCGGAUAACCAUUUAACUAUCUCUAAGCCCUUUUUUAAACCCUUUUUUAAACAUGCAUCUUUAAGAAUUCAUAAUCUGAAAAUGUGAUUUCAAACAUGUGUUCUAUUCUGUUCUAAAUUACUAUGACUUUAACUGAGUUUGUGUCGUCACACCAAGACUUGCAAGUCCUACUUCUGAGCCAUAUUGUACCAUGCAUGAUUCUUUCAUUAAAACAUAAUUCAGACCACCCAAGCAUGCAAAUAAUAUAAGAGAUUUCAUGUUCCAAAAACUAUGCGAAAAUUCUCAUUCUUUUAAUAAAUAUGUGGUGGUCAUGUAAUCUUUGACAAACCAUGCAACUCUUCUCAUUAUAUAUUUAUAUUCAACAUUGGUCAACAUAAACAUCCCUCUCUUUUGAAAUUAAAACCAUAAUCCAAUCAUAGCAUUAAUCAAGACAUUUCAUAUCAUGCUUUUCAAGAUGCAUUCACAACAAUCCACAGCAUAUGAAAAGUAAAGAAAAAUCAUAACAAGAGAGGGAUUCUUUAGGAUUCAUGCUCUCAAUUGUAUAUUCAUCCUUAAACACAUGCAUAUAUAUAUAGAGAGUUUCAAAUCAAUUUAGAGAAAGGCAUGGAGACAAAAACAAUACUGAUCAAGGCUUCUAAAACAUGCUAGUAGUUGUAAAUUCAAAGCCCCUUUCUUAAAAUCAUGAUUUUGAGACCGUUAGCAUGAAUUAAAGAUGGUUUAUUUGCCCAUGAACUUUUAUAAAAACCCCACGUACCUUAAUUUAUGACUCUUGAAUGAAGUCAUGUUUUAGGGGUGCUAUUCGAAAAAUUGAUGGGUGCUUCUUGUAGCCCUCGCAAUGGGGAUUCCGAAUCUCGAAGAAUUAUUGAAAACCAACGGUGAAAUCUUAAGAUAUUUUGAUCUUUGGGUUGAAACCCUAAGAAGAGUUAUUGGUGAAUUUGAGAGAGAAUGACUUUAUUUUGGUAUUUUGGGGAU